GGUGAAGAACGCAGCGAAAUGCGAUACGUAAUGUGAAUUGCAAAUUCAGUGAAUCAUCGAGUCUUUGAACGCACAUUGCGCCCCCUGGUAUUCCGGGGGGCAUGCCUGUCCGAGCGUCAUUGCUGCCCUCAAGCACGGCUUGUGUGUUGGGCCCCGUCCUCCGAUCCCGGGGGACGGGCCCGAAAGGCAGCGGCGGCACCGCGUCCGGUCCUCGAGCGUAUGGGGCUUUGUCACCCGCUCUGUAGGCCCGGCCGGCGCUUGCCGAUCAACCCAAAUUUUUUAUCCAGGUUGACCUCGGAUCAGGUAGGGAUACCCGCUGAACUUAAGCAUAUCAAUAAGCGGAGGA
rnacentral:misc_RNA from 1 species